GUCGAAAGCAAAUACCUCUGUUCCAGUCCGCCAUGUUGAAGAGUGACGUCACAUGCAUCAGCUGUUCACGCGCAUCUCCUAUUUGUCCGCAAUACAGACCCGAGCACAACAACAAGAAGAGACGGUGACAGACACGGACGGCAUCUUGGGGAGUUGUUUUAUGCACAAAUCCAUUCUUGGAGGAUACAAAUAAUUCGAUUAAACCAACAUGGUCACAGAGUCGCUGUAAGGACACAUCCGUACCCGAGGCCCACCACUGAGUCUGUGUUAGUGCUGAAGGCCCGUGUCCUGUGACCCAGACAUGGCCAGAAACUCGUUCCAUACGGCCAAACACGGCCGACGUAAUGAGGCCAACCACGAGUCAGAGUUCAGCUGCUCGCUGCAGGAGCUGCGGUCACUCAUGGAGCUGCGAGGACCGGAGGCUCUGAACAGGGUCCAGAAAACCUACGGAGACGUGAAUGGACUUUGUACCAGACUGAGGACCUCACCUGUGGAAGGUACACACAGUCACACACACACACCGUCUUUGGAAAACAAAUGUUAAUCCAAGGAGUACCACACAGUGUUUUUAGUUGGGUUUUUAAAACCAACCCUGAACAAACGUCAGAAACGGUGCUGACCUCUGUGAGGUGGAGGUCAUGGAGGAAUCAGUUGCAGUUUAACGUGAGUGAGCGUUGACUCCUGUUCUGCUUGAGACCUUGAAUAAAAAAAAAAUAUGAGCAAGUUAAAAAAAAAGCAAAAAAAUAAAUAAUU